rnacentral:lncRNA from 1 species
UCUCUUUAAGACGUUUCGUGGCACUGCCCAAAAUGUGCAAGCAGACUAUCAACCACGCCGUCCCCAGGAUAAAACAGCCCAGAUCUCUGUUAUCGAAUUCUUACUGCAAUGUAAGAACCAAUCUCGAAUACACCCACCACAAUAUGACUACCAAUGCCAAUUCUCGAAAUUACACAUAAUAUGACUACCCGUGCCAAUUCUCUUCCCACAAUACUAACUACCAGUGUCAGUUCUCGAAAUCCCACAAUAUGGUAACCCCUGCCAAUUCUUUACCUACAAUACUGACUACCAGUGUCAGUUCUCGAAAUCUCACUUUGGCUGCAUGUGCCAAUUCUUAAGUGUCACGGAAAGAAAGAGGGAGAAGUUUGCCGGAAAUGCAUCGGCGGAAUAUUAGGGGGGAGAAAGAAAA